UCCAUCUUUUUCUGACUGCGUUCAGUUCAGAUGAUCUUUUAAUUCCUUCCUGCAGAGAUCUGAACUUUCCACCAUGAUUCCUGUCUGAUUCCAGCAGAGCAGCAACACAGAUGAUGGUUUAAAGACAAACUGAAGCAGAUGCAGACAGGAAGGAUUGAUGGCUGCAGUUAGUUGGUGUGGACAGCAGGUGGCGCUGCUGCAUGGCACACAGAGGGAGAGCAGCAGCUUCCUGCAGGGACACAUGAAGAGCAGCAUGAAGCUGAGCUGGGAGACAUGAAGCUUUAACAUCUGCUGAACUCUUCAGCUCCUCUUUCCCUCAGAUCUGCCCUGAAGCAGCUUUAAGGUGGAAAACUGCUGCAGCUGGAGGAGAUUCAGCAAAACCAACAUGUUGCUUUGCUUUCUGUCCCAGAAGCUCCAGAGGAGGCUUGGCAGCAUGAAGGUCACCCAGAGAAGAAGCAGCAGCCGUGGUUCUGUUAUGGAUCAAGGUACCGUGGUCCAUGAAAGGCUCAUUAAAACAGAACCUUAGAAACUAGAGAAUGGGCUUUUACUGCAGAAAAGUUUACAGUCCUAACAGAGUUUCAUUUAAAGACGUUUUGGUUCCAGGCGGUUCUGUAGGAGUCGGACCCUGGAGCGGGCUCAGGAACCCGACUGCAGGUUGAGGUUGUUCAGUAGAAUCCAGUUUCUACCAGUGAGUUCUGUGGUGCUGCUCGGUUGGCCUUAAACUUUCUAAUCUCUAAAACUUAACAAGGAGGCAAAGAAUCAGCCAGUGCCAGUCCACAUCCUCAGACUCAACUGUGGUUAAUCCAUCAGAGCUCACACCCCGUCCUGUGUCCACUGUCCCCUCCAUGACUGCAACCACAGUUGAUCUACCUGCAUCCUCCACCACAACGUCCACUUCUCACAGCAGAUCAUCAUCAGCUCCACCAGAUGACCCAGCUUAGUGACCUUCUUUUCUCUCUGAUUGAGCUGGUGAUCAGAGGAACCUGCCUAUCAAGGAGAACUUUUCAUUCCUUUAAAAGGUAUGAUGGACGAAGUUUCCAUUAUCAUUACACCCACAGACAAUUAGUCAAUGAAGAAAAAGUUAAGCGUAGUUAGCU